rnacentral:rRNA from 1 species
GAUGAACGCUGGCGGCGUGCCUAAUACAUGCAAGUCGAGCGAACGGACGAGAAGCUUGCUUCUCUGAUGUUAGCGGCGGACGGGUGAGUAACACGUGGAUAACCUACCUAUAAGACUGGGAUAACUUCGGGAAACCGGAGCUAAUACCGGAUAAUAUUUUGAACCGCAUGGUUCAAAAGUGAAAGACGGUCUUGCUGUCACUUAUAGAUGGAUCCGCGCUGCAUUAGCUAGUUGGUAAGGUAACGGCUUACCAAGGCAACGAUGCAUAGCCGACCUGAGAGGGUGAUCGGCCACACUGGAACUGAGACACGGUCCAGACUCCUACGGGAGGCAGCAGUAGGGAAUCUUCCGCAAUGGGCGAAAGCCUGACGGAGCAACGCCGCGUGAGUGAUGAAGGUCUUCGGAUCGUAAAACUCUGUUAUUAGGGAAGAACAUAUGUGUAAGUAACUGUGCACAUCUUGACGGUACCUAAUCAGAAAGCCACGGCUAACUACGUGCCAGCAGCCGCGGUAAUACGUAGGUGGCAAGCGUUAUCCGGAAAUUAUUGGGCGUAAAGCGCGCGUAGGCGGUUUUUUAAGUCUGAUGUGAAAGCCCACGGCUCAACCGUGGAGGGUCAUUGGAAACUGGAAAACUUGAGUGCAGAAGAGGAAAGUGGAAUUCCAUGUGUAGCGGUGAAAUGCGCAGAGAUAUGGAGGAACACCAGCGGCGAAGGCGACUUUCUGGUCUGUAACUGACGCUGAUGUGCGAAAGCGUGGGGAUCAAACAGGAUUAGAUACCCUGGUAGUCCACGCCGUAAACGAUGAGUGCUAAGUGUUAGGGGGUUUCCGCCCCUUAGUGCUGCAGCUAACGCAUUAAGCACUCCGCCUGGGGAGUACGACCGCAAGGUUGAAACUCAAAGGAAUUGACGGGGACCCGCACAAGCGGUGGAGCAUGUGGUUUAAUUCGAAGCAACGCGAAGAACCUUACCAAAUCUUGACAUCCUUUGACAACUCUAGAGAUAGAGCCUUCCCCUUCGGGGGACAAAGUGACAGGUGGUGCAUGGUUGUCGUCAGCUCGUGUCGUGAGAUGUUGGGUUAAGUCCCGCAACGAGCGCAACCCUUAAGCUUAGUUGCCAUCAUUAAGUUGGGCACUCUAAGUUGACUGCCGGUGACAAACCGGAGGAAGGUGGGGAUGACGUCAAAUCAUCAUGCCCCUUAUGAUUUGGGCUACACACGUGCUACAAUGGACAAUACAAAGGGCAGCGAAACCGCGAGGUCAAGCAAAUCCCAUAAAGUUGUUCUCAGUUCGGAUUGUAGUCUGCAACUCGACUACAUGAAGCUGGAAUCGCUAGUAAUCGUAGAUCAGCAUGCUACGGUGAAUACGUUCCCGGGUCU